rnacentral:rRNA from 1 species
GAUGAACGCUAGCGGCAGGCCUAACACAUGCAAGUCGAGGGGCAGCACAUAAAGUGGUUUACUACUUUUGGUGGCGACCGGCGGACGGGUGCGUAACGCGUAUGCAACCUGCCUCCAACAGGGGGAUAACGGAGAGAAAUUUCCACUAAUACCCCAUAAUAUCAGAAUCGGCAUCGGUUUUGGUUGAAAACUCCGGUGGUUGGAGAUGGGCAUGCGUUGUAUUAGAUAGUUGGUGAGGUAACGGCUCACCAAGUCAACGAUACAUAGGGGGACGUGGAGGUUAGGCCCCCACACUGGUACUGAGACACGGACCAGACUCCUACGGGAGGCAGCAGUGAGGAAUAUUGGUCAAUGGGGGCAACCCUGAACCAGCCAUGCCGCGUGCAGGAAGACGGCUCUAUGAGUUGUAAACUGCUUUUACAAGGGGAUAAAUCGGUGUACGUGUACACCGUUGAAGGUACCUUGGGAAUAAGGACCGGCUAACUCCGUGCCAGCCGCCGCAGUAA